rnacentral:rRNA from 1 species
AGAACGAACGCUGGCGGCGCGUCUUAAGCAUGCAAGUCGAACGGCAAGAGGUAGCAAUACCUCCUAGAGUGGCGGACUGGUGAGUAACACGUGGGUGACAUACCCUUCAGAUGGGGAUAGCUAUUAGAAAUAGUAGAUAAUACCGAAUACGAGCACAGGGGUUAGAGAUCUGUGAGGAAAGGAGCUAAGGCUCCGCUGAAGGAAUGGCCUGCGGCCCAUUAGCUAGUUGGUGAGGUAAGAGCCCACCAAGGCGAUGAUGGGUAUCCGGCCUUAGAGGGUGAACGGACACAUUGGGACUGAGAUACGGCCCAGACUCCUACGGGAGGCAGCAGCUAAGAAUAUUCCGCAAUGGACGAAAGUCUGACGGAGCGACGCCGCGUGGAUGAAGAAGGCCGGAAGGUUGUAAAAUCCUUUUGAAACUGAAGAAUAAGCGUUGUAGGGAAUGACAGCGUGGUGACAGUAGGUUUUGAAUAAGCAACGGCUAAUUACGUGCCAGCCGCAGC